rnacentral:rRNA from 1 species
UACGAGGGGGGCAAGCGUUGUUCGGAUUUAUUGGGCGUAAAGGGUGCGUAGGCGGUUUGAUAAGUCUUGUGUGAAAUCUAUGGGCUCAACCCAUAGUCUGCACAAGAAACUGUCGGGCUUGAGUAGUGGAGAGGUGAGUGGAAUUUCCGGUGUAGCGGUGAAAUGCGUAGAUAUCGGAAGGAACACCUGUGGCGAAAGCGGCUCACUGGACACUAACUGACGCUGAGGCACGAAAGCUAGGGGAGCAAACAGG